AAAGAGAGGGGGUGUUUACGGGUAUGAACCCGAACUCAGGGUGCUAGGCACUUCUGUAGGAUCAGCCAUGGGAGAAUAUUAAAAUUUAAGUUUUUGUAUACAUAUAUUGUGAUGGAUUUUAAAAGAAGAAUAUGAUUUUUGGAUAUUAGGUUCUGCGAGAGAUUUACGGAAUUAAUUGGAUUUAUUGUGGAUCGCGUUCGCAAGUAAGUGAUGUAACCUCUUUACUAGAUUUAUCGACAAACUAAAUAUCUAUUUUACAAAUCGAAUUAUUUGUGAUUACGAAUUUGAUGCAUGGAUUAUAUGUAUAUUUUUAGAAUAUUGUAUGACUCUGAUUGAACAUAUUUGCUUCUGGUUUGAAUUGUAUUUAAUUGCUCUUACAUUGUAUUUUUCGGCUUGAAACACUCAACAUAAUGUAAGAAAAGAUAAUGACUUAAAAUAGAUUCAGACUUGCAGUCGAGCUAUGUUGAGGACCCUGCCAAUAGAGGCUAAUACAUUGGUACUGCAAGAAGAAUAGUCGGUGAUAUGACCCUGCCACAGGGAACAUGUGGUCAUAAUUUCUGGCUGUUGAGUUGAAUCUGAUAAAUUAAAAGAAAUUGAGAUAUGAACGACAUUUGGUUUUGACACUGUAUAUUGUUUUUAUAUAACUGAAAUAUGAAAUAGAGAACAAACUGAACUUCGACCUGGCUAUGUUGAGGACCCUGCCAAUGGGGGCAGAUACGUUGGCAAUUGACUGUCCUGAAGGACUCACCGCAAAAAGAUUAGUCAGUGUUGAUGACCCUGCCACAGGGAACAUGUGGUCACAGUCCAGGAUCGACAAGAUGAAUUGAAUAUGUAAAAGAAUCUUGAAACCGCGAAAAGAAUCUUAUGAAUUCAAGAAAUAUUUGACCUAUACUUUGGAACUGCAUAUUUAUUUAUUUUCCAUAUAUUAUUGCUUGAUUUAUCUAGCUAGAGUGUUCAUUACUUACUGGGCUGUCUAGCUCAUUAUACCAUCUCUUGUUGUUUUACAGAUUUCGAGAAAUAGUCUAUUGGGGAUUCAAAUUGGGAGAGCGACUAGAAGGAUUGUGGCACAAGUUAUCUUAGAUUAGGGUUAUUUAAGUUGAUUUGUUAUUAUAGACAUUUAUUAUGAUUGGUGGACUUUUGUUAUUUUAAGAACUAGAUUUCUGUAUAUUGGUAAAUGAUUAUUCCGCUGCGUAUUUAGACUUGUGAGACCUUAUGACUUGAGUUAGUCAAUGGAAUAAGAUUGCA
rnacentral:lncRNA from 1 species